CAUGCAGUCGGACGGCAGCAUAAAAGAGCUUGCUCUUUUGAUGGCGAGUGGCGAACGGGUGAGUAAUGCAUCGGAACGUACCGAGUAGUGGGGGAUAACUGUCCGAAAGGAUGGCUAAUACCGCAUAUUCUCUGAGGAGGAAAGCAGGGGACCUUAGGGCCUUGCGCUAUUUGAGCGGCCGAUGUCUGAUUAGCUAGUUGGUGGGGUAAGAGCCCACCAAGGCGACGAUCAGUAGCGGGUCUGAGAGGAUGAUCCGCCACACUGGGACUGAGACACGGCCCAGACUCCUACGGGAGGCAGCAGUGGGGAAUUUUGGACAAUGGGCGCAAGCCUGAUCCAGCCAUGCCGCGUGUAUGAAGAAGGCCUUCGGGUUGUAAAGUACUUUUGUCAGGGAAGAAAAGCCUGAGGAUAACACCCUCAGGUCAUGACGGUACCUGAAGAAUAAGCACCGGCUAACUACGUGC
rnacentral:rRNA from 1 species